rnacentral:rRNA from 1 species
CCCUUAGACGUUCUGGGCCACACGCGCGCUACACUGACGAAGGCAACGAGCUUUCCUUUACCGAAAGGUACGGGUAAUCUUUUGAAACUUCGUCGUGCUGGGGAUAGAUCCUUGCAAUUUUUGAUCUUAAACGAGGAAUGCCUAGUAAGCGCAAGUCAUCAACUUGCGUUGAUUACGUCCCUGCCCUUUGUACACACCGCCCGUCGCUACUACCGAUUGAAUGGUUUAGUGAGGCCUUCGGAUCCGCGACUCGUUUGUGGAGAAGUUGGACAAACUCAGUCAUUUAGAGGAAGUAAAAGUCGUAACA